GGAUGCGAUCAUACCAGCACUAAAGCACCGGAUCCCAUCAGAACUCCGAAGUUAAGCAUGCUUCGGCGAGAGUAGUACUAGGAUGGGUGACCUCCUGGGAAGUCCUCGUGUUGCAUUCC
rnacentral:rRNA from 2 species